GAGCUGUGUGGAGUGAGCAAAGGCACCACUGCUGUGCUUGCUGGAAGCACCAGAAUAUCACAUACAGCAAGCUAAUUUCAUAAUAUUCGUGGCCAGACCUGAGAGAGGAAACACUGGAAAGAUCUGGAGGCCACAUCCUGGCAUCUGUGCCCCUUUGCACAGUGGGUCAGUUUUGCAGGCGCCGCUGCAGCAGCAGAAGAGGCGGCGGAUCGUACACCCCAUGCUUCUGUGCAAUCACAAAAAGAGGUCGGCGAAAGCUGGAGCAGAGGAGAGCGGCCUUGUCCCUGGCCUGUGCUGGGGUCAGGGCUCGGCCUCCCAUUGCUACCACCCCCGCGCAGCGAACCAAGGCCUCGCAGAAAACAUUUGCAGCGCUUGUACAACAGCGACGGGAUGGUGCGGGCAGAGCCCGAGCCCCGAGGUCGCCCAAUCCAUCCCGCUGCAAGAGGAGGUGGAGCUAGGGCCAAAUUCAAGCCUUGCCACAAAGGGGUUUAGCCCUGAGGGGUGACCCCGCUGCGCUCUCCUCCCUUCCCCGCUCUGCUUCAGCAAUCUCUGCCUUCCAGAUUUCCUCUCGGGGCCCACGUCUGCGAGGUGCG